GAAUGUGAGGGCAAUCUGGCUGCAACAUGUGUCACCCCAUUGAUCGCCAGAGUGGUUUUGGCUGAUCUGGCUGGCUAGGCAGAUGUCCCCUUCCUCCCUCACUGCUCCAUGUAUGCCCUUCCCCAAGCUGUGUGCUCAUGCUUCAUGGCAGAGAAUGGCCUUCCCCAAUAGAUGAAGCCCGUUCUUUAGCCAAGGAUAUACGUGUAGCUGUGCUCCCCUACUAGAACCUCCAAACUGGUUCUCCAGGUCCAUUUGUAGGAGAACGUAGGGUAGUCAGGCUUCCAAGACUCCAGACACAUCCAAAAGGAUGCUGCAUGUGGCAGUCUGCCUUUCUUU
rnacentral:snRNA from 1 species